rnacentral:lncRNA from 1 species
CCAACUUUAAAGGAAAUAGGUUCCUUAUUGUUCUACAAAGAAAUACUUAGUUUUUAAUCCUGCUCACCUGGGACUCCACCACAGUCAUAAAGACAUUUUUGCUUUCUUUCAAUUUUCAGAGCUUCAUUAUGACACAAGUUGGGUUAAGGGAACUUUGCCACUGUAAGUGUUCUAACAAGAGUCCUGGGCAUUUCUCCAUGGUCUAAUGACAAGCUUGCUGACCAUGGCUGGGUUCACGCUGUUUGUUGUCUUGCACUUUGUUCUGUUCCUAGGACAAGGAACUGUGUAAGAAGGCAUCUUUUGAAAGAGGGAGAAACAGCACUGUGAAUAUCAACAAAGAAAAAUAACCUAAAAAAACAAAAAUAUUGUAUUUCGUCUGAACUUUUGGAUCUGUUUAUGAAAAAUGUUUAACAAGAAACAAAAAUGCCCAUAUUCUAUAAAGGAAGAUUUCAAUCAGCAGUUUUCAAAGUAAGAUAAACUCCACAUUUUCCAAAGUCAAGACAAUUUUGAUUACAGUUCUAUCUUAGUUGGAUUUACUGAAGAGGUGGAUAAUUUUAGGAAGUAAUAUAGUGCAAGAGAGAACUAAGACAUCUCCUCUGAUAAUUUAAAUCAGAAGGAACUGGGAAGUAACUCUUCAGUGGCUGUGCCUCGCUGCAUUUUCUCCAGAGACCAUUUCGGGAGAAGACCUCUGUGGAGAAAUCUGGAAACACUGGCAUAUAUUCAAUGAGAUAUCUUUGGAACAAGAGCCAAAUCCAAAUGCAAAACUCGCUUAUAUUUCAUAUAAACCUUACACAUAUAGUCUAAAGACACUUAAAGACCCAAAUGGUGCAUUCAGUAUUUCAACCAAAACAGCUGGACUUGAUAGUUCUGAUCAGAUAUUGACUAAGCUCCACAUUACAGUUGAGUAAGCCUUCACUGGAUCAUCCCUGAGGUGGUGAAAAGGAAAGACCACUCUAAACUCUUCUCUGAGGCUCCCAGGCACUUUAUCUACCCAUCAAGGAGGAAACAGAAACCAGGAAAGAAUGAAACAAUAUUCCUAAG